UACAAAUGAUGUUUUUCUCACGAUGGUCUUCCAAGCCCCUCUGGGUUUUGACGACAAUGCCAGAUGGCAACACUGAUGCAGUUUA